UUUACUGAUUGACAUGAACACUCAAGUUGGCUCCUUCAUGUUCAUGACAGGUGUCAUGUCAUAAUAAUGACUGUGUUAUGUCAGUCUUAUGCACACCCCUUCAAAUAAAGUG